rnacentral:rRNA from 1 species
GAUGAACGCUGGCGGCGUGCCUAAUACAUGCAAGUCGAGCGAACAGAUGAGGAGCUUGCUCCUCUGACGUUAGCGGCGGACGGGUGAGUAACACGUGGAUAACCUACCUAUAAGACUGGGAUAACUUCGGGAAACCGGAGCUAAUACCGGAUAAUAUAUUGAACCGCAUGGUUCAAUAGUGAAAGACGGUUUUGCUGUCACUUAUAGAUUGAUCCACGCCGCAUUAGCUAGUUGGUAAGGUAACGGCUUACCAAGGCAACGAUGCGUAUCCGACCUGAGAGGGUGAUCGGCCACACUGGAACGGAGACACGGAACAGACUCCUACGGGAGGCAGCAGUAGGGAAUAUUCCGCAAUGGGCGAAAGCAUGACGGAGCAACGCCGCGUGAGUGAUGAAGGUCUUCGGAUCGUAAAACUCUGUUAUUAGGGAAGAAAAAAUGUGUAAGUAACUAUGCACGUCUUGACGGUAACUAAUCAGAAAGCCACGGCUAACUACGUG